AUUUAAGGGUGUAUGGUGAAUGCCUUGACAUUAUGAGACGAUGAAGGACGUAGCAGCCUGCGAUAAGCCUCGCUUAGGUGGCAAGCAACCUUUGACGCGGGGAUUUCCGAAUGGGGAAACCUAUCCUGAUGAAGUCAGGAUGACCUAGCAUUUAUGUUAGGUGGAGUACCCGGGGAACUGAAACAUCUUAGUACCCGGAGGAAAAGAAAAAAAUAAAACAGAUUUUACACAGAUUACAAACGGAUUAACGCAGAUAUUUAUUUGCGCGUAUCUGUAAAUAACUGUGUAAAGUCUGUGCAAUUCCGUCAGUAGUGGCGAGCGAACGCGGAGAAGCCUAAACUUUAGAAACUGCACUUUUUGUCCCGAGCAAUCGGGAUGAUUAGGAAAGGAUCCAGGUCCACAUGUUUUUAGAGCGUUGUAAGAUAUAUGCGUUUGCCCCCUGGAACGGGCGAGGUAGAGACAAAAAAUAUAACUUCCCUAGGAGAACGGUCUGGAAAGGCCGGCCAAAGACGGUGACAGCCCGGUACGCGAAAGGGGUUAGAACUCUACGGUGUAUGUUCUUAAGUAGGGCGGAACUCGAGAAAUUCCGUCUGAAGCCGGAGCGACUAUGCUCCAAGGCUAAAUACUCAUAAUGAUCGAUAGUGAACGAGUACCGUGAGGGAAAGGUGAAAAGCAUCCCGGGAGGGAGGUGAAAUAGUACCUGAAACCAUACACUUACAAGGAAUCAGAGUCCCGCACUUUCUGCGCAUCUUUAUUACAUUUAAAUCAUCUUUGGAAGACGAAGUCGCUUCGCUCUGUAACGGUGAUUCAAAUCAUGUAAGGUGAAUGGAAAGUGCGGGAUGAUGGUGUGCCUAUUGAAGAAUGAGCCAACGAGUUUGUUCUAUGUGGCUUACAUAAACUCCGUUUGGAGAAUAUGUGUAGUGAAAGCGAGGGUGAAUAGCCCGUAUCUUACUUUUUAGAUAGGAGAUGCCUUUAAGUCUUCUAUCUAAAUUGUAAGAAUGUCGCAUGGACAAAACCCGAAGCCGGGUGAUCUAGCCAUAGCCAGGUUGAAUGCCGUCGAAAGACGGCAGGAGGACCGAACCCACAAGCCGUGCAACACUUGGGGAUGAGCUGUGGUUAGGGGAGAAAUUCCAAUCGAACUCGGCAAUAGCUGGUUCUCCUCGAAAUAGCUUUAGGGCUAGCCUCGGAUACUGACGCUUGGGGGUAGAGCACUGAUUAAGGGCGGGUCGCAAGAUACCGUCUUUAGACAAACUCCGAAUACCAAGCGGUGCAAUCCGGGAGUAAGACUAUGGGGGCUAAGCUCCAUCAGUCAAAAGGGAAACAGCCCAGAUCACCAACUAAGGUCCCAAAAUCCAUGUUCAGUGUGAAAGGUGGUGUCGCGACUGCGACAACUAGGAGGUUGGCUUAGAAGCAGCCAUCCUUUAAAGAUAGCGUAAUAGCUCACUAGUCAAGUUGCCGCGCGCCGAAAAUGUAACGGGGCUAAACAUGGUACCGAAGUUGUGAGUCUCGCAGCAAUGCGGGGCGGUAGAGGAGCAUUCCCUGUUCGCUGAAGUUUCGCUGUGAGGCGGAAUGGAGAACAGGGAAGAGAGAAUGUUGGCAUGAGUAGCAUAAAGGCGGGUGAGAACCCCGCCCACCGAAAGCCUCAGGGUUCCUGGGCAACGUAAAUCGGCCCAGGGUUAGUCGGUCCUAAGGUGAGUCCCGUGUAGUGCGGGGGUAGCCGAUGGAUAGCGCCGUUAAUAUUCGGCGACUGCGUAUGUAUUUCAAUGGAGUGACGCAUCGUUAAAAGUUUGAGCGUUCUAUGGUAUGAGCGUUGUUGCUUUUGUUUUGGUCGUCCCAGGAAAAUCCGGGACACCUAUAACCAAAACAGAAAUGACAAAAGCUGAGCACUUUGUGCAAGGCGAUUCAAGCGGCGGCGGUGCCAAGAAAACCUUCUAGAGCCAAUGCAUACGCAACCGUACCGUAAACCGACACAGGUAGGCGAGGCGAGAAGCCUCAGGUGCACGAGAGAACCUUCGUUUAGGAACUCGGCAAAACAGCGGUCGUAAUCUAGAGAUAAGGCCUCCCGCUCAGCGCGCAAGCGCUUGAGCGGGCGCAGCUAACGACCCCAAGCAACUGUUUAUCAAAAACACAGCUCCCUGCAAACUCGUAAGAGGAAGUAUAGGGGGUGACGCCUGGCCAGUGUCUGAACGUUAAGGGGAGAGGUCAUUUCCGAUUUAUCGGGGAGAAGCCUUGAACCGAAGCGCAGAUGAACGCCGGCGAUAACUAUAGACGCGAUUGUAGUUAUAAAAUUUGGCUAUAUGCUGGAAACUCCGGAGUAAACAACGUACUCGUCCGAGCAAGGGCAGUAAAAAUCGUUUUUUGUGCUCCGACAUGACGUCGGAGUGCCGGACAAUCAGCAGGAAAGACUCUUAAUAGUAAGACUAUGAGCGAUACCAAAUGGUUACGUAAGAUUCCCUUGGAAUGGGGACAUUAUUUGGCGGGAUUUACGGAUGGGGAAGGAAGUUUUAACAUUUCUCUUCGUAAAAGAGAAGAUCAUACGAUUCAAUGGCAGGUCGUCUUAACGUUUAAUGUUUCCCAAAAAGAAUCUUACAUCCUUUCACAAUUCAAGAGAUAUUUAGGUUGUGGAAGGAUACAACAAAGAAGGGAUGGAUUGCACAUAUAUGUGUGUUCUAAUCCAACGUCAAUUCGAGAGCGCAUUAUUCCGUUUUUUCGGAAAUUUAAAUUACGCUCCCAAUUGAAGAAAAAAAAUUUUUUUAUUUUUUGCCAGAUUGUUGAAAAGGUAUUCAACAAAGAACAUUUAACCCCGCCAGGUUUGAAGGAAAUUAUCACGUUGCGGGAGGUUUUAAAUGAAGGUAGAGGCAGAAAAAGAAAAUAUCAGCUCAGUGAUUUUAACCAAUCACAAAAAGAGAAUCCUCAGAGACUAUACGCCAAACCGCGAAAAUUUAGAAAAGAAUUUUCGUCGGAUGAUAUAGUCCGAUCUCAUGGGCAACCAUGAGCUUCAGAUACAUUACUUCUGAAGAUUUUAUUCCGUUUUAGGGAUAAAAGUAACAGAGAUAAAUCGUCCUAAGGUAGCGAAAUUCCUUGUCGGGUAAGUUCCGACCUGCACGAAUGGCGUAAUGACUUGGGGACUGUCUCAACGAAGGACUCGGCGAAAUUGCAAGCCCAGUAAAGAUGCUGGGUACCCAUAGCCGGACGAAAAGACCCCGUGAAGCUUUACUACAACUUGAUAUUGUGUUUGAACAUGCUUUGUUCAGUAUAGGUGGGAGUCCCGAGCAAUCGGGACAACAGUGAGAUACCACCCUUAGUCUGUUGAAAUACUUACCUCAUCUUGUUAUCCAAGAAAGGGACAGUAUCUGGCGGGUAGUUUGUCUGGGGCGGAUGCCUCCCAAAAAGUAACGGAGGCGUUUACUAAGGUUGGCUAUCUCGGAAUGGAAACCCGAGAGAUAGUGUAAAGGCACAAGCCAGCUUUACUGCGAGACCUGCGCGUCGAGCAGUCGCGAAAGCGGAACUUAGUGAUCCGACCGUCCAAUGUAGGAUGGCGGAAGCUCAUCGGAUAAAAG
rnacentral:rRNA from 1 species